rnacentral:rRNA from 1 species
UACGUAGGGUGCGAGCGUUAAUCGGAAUUACUGGGCGUAAAGCGUGCGCAGGCGGUUCGUUGUGUCGGUGGUGAAAGCCCCGGGCUUAACCUGGGAAUGGCCAUGGAAACUGGCGAACUGGAGUGUGGCAGAGGGGGGUGGAAUUCCGCGUGUAGCAGUGAAAUGCGCAGAUAUCAGGAGGAACACCGGUGGCGAAGGCGGGUCUCUGGGCCGUAACUGACGCUGAGGAGCGAAAGCGUGGGGAGCGAACAGG